rnacentral:rRNA from 1 species
UACAGAGGUGGCAAGCGUUGUUCGGAAUUACUGGGCGUAAAGGGCGCGUAGGCGGCCUUCUAAGUCAGACGUGAAAUCCCCCGGCUUAACCUGGGAACUGCGUCUGAUACUGGGAGGCUUGAGUAUGGGAGAGGGAUGUAGAAUUCCAGGUGUAGCGGUGAAAUGCGUAGAUAUCUGGAGGAAUACCGGUGGCGAAGGCGGCAUCCUGGACCGAGAUUGACGCUGAUGAGCGAAAGCUAGGGGAGCAAACGGG